ACAGACGGGCACCAGGAUUCUCAAACUCCCCUGCCCUCAGCCCUCCAGACACCUGUAUAAAAGAAAACUGAAACUCUCUUUAAAGAAGAGUGUUUUCACUGCCCAGCAAAGAGUUAGUACAUGGAUAUAACUCGUGCAUUUCCUGACCUGUGAAAAAGUGGAGGUGUGGCAAUAAGAUUAUUGAUGGCUGCGCUCCUACUAAAACAACAGAGUUGUAGGCUUGUGACAAGAGUAUGGGUGCCAAGCUGAAAAUAUUUACUACCUGGACUUUAUCAGAAAGAAUUUGCCAGCUCUUGAUGUAACAGAUCAAAAAGCUAUAAAAGGUGCUGUUCGAAAGCGUGUCUCCUAUUGUGUGAG